rnacentral:rRNA from 1 species
GGGUUGUGAGGUUAAGCGACUAAGCGUACACGGUGGAUGCCCUGGCAGUCAGAGGCGAUGAAGGACGUGCUAAUCUGCGAUAAGCGUCGGUAAGGUGAUAUGAACCGUUAUAACCGGCGAUUUCCGAAUGGGGAAACCCAGUGUGUUUCGACACACUAUCAUUAACUGAAUCCAUAGGUUAAUGAGGCGAACCGGGGGAACUGAAACAUCUAAGUACCCCGAGGAAAAGAAAUCAACCGAGAUUCCCCCAGUAGCGGCGAGCGAACGGGGAGCAGCCCAGAGCCUGAAUCAGUGUGUGUGUUAGUGGAAGCGUCUGGAAAGGCGCGCGAUACAGGGUGACAGCCCCGUACACAAAAAUGCACAUGCUGUGAGCUCGAUGAGUAGGGCGGGACACGUGGUAUCCUGUCUGAAUAUGGGGGGACCAUCCUCCAAGGCUAAAUACUCCUGACUGACCGAUAGUGAACCAGUACCGUGAGGGAAAGGCGAAAAGAACCCCGGCGAGGGGAGUGAAAAAGAACCUGAAACCGUGUACGUACAAGCAGUGGGAGCCUCUUUUAUGGGGUGACUGCGUACCUUUUGUAUAAUGGGUCAGCGACUUAUAUUCUGUAGCAAGGUUAACCGAAUAGGGGAGCCGAAGGGAAACCGAGUCUUAACUGGGCGUUAAGUUGCAGGGUAUAGACCCGAAACCCGGUGAUCUAGCCAUGGGCAGGUUGAAGGUUGGGUAACACUAACUGGAGGACCGAACCGACUAAUGUUGAAAAAUUAGCGGAUGACUUGUGGCUGGGGGUGAAAGGCCAAUCAAACCGGGAGAUAGCUGGUUCUCCCCGAAAGCUAUUUAGGUAGCGCCUCGUGAAUUCAUCUCCGGGGGUAGAGCACUGUUUCGGCAAGGGGGUCAUCCCGACUUACCAACCCGAUGCAAACUGCGAAUACCGGAGAAUGUUAUCACGGGAGACACACGGCGGGUGCUAACGUCCGUCGUGAAGAGGGAAACAACCCAGACCGCCAGCUAAGGUCCCAAAGUCAUGGUUAAGUGGGAAACGAUGUGGGAAGGCCCAGACAGCCAGGAUGUUGGCUUAGAAGCAGCCAUCAUUUAAAGAAAGCGUAAUAGCUCACUGGUCGAGUCGGCCUGCGCGGAAGAUGUAACGGGGCUAAACCAUGCACCGAAGCUGCGGCAGCGACGCUUAUGCGUUGUUGGGUAGGGGAGCGUUCUGUAAGCCUGUGAAGGUGUGCUGUGAGGCAUGCUGGAGGUAUCAGAAGUGCGAAUGCUGACAUAAGUAACGAUAAAGCGGGUGAAAAGCCCGCUCGCCGGAAGACCAAGGGUUCCUGUCCAACGUUAAUCGGGGCAGGGUGAGUCGACCCCUAAGGCGAGGCCGAAAGGCGUAGUCGAUGGGAAACAGGUUAAUAUUCCUGUACUUGGUGUUACUGCGAAGGGGGGACGGAGAAGGCUAUGUUGGCCGGGCGACGGUUGUCCCGGUUUAAGCGUGUAGGCUGGUUUUCCAGGCAAAUCCGGAAAAUCAAGGCUGAGGCGUGAUGACGAGGCACUACGGUGCUGAAGCAACAAAUGCCCUGCUUCCAGGAAAAGCCUCUAAGCAUCAGGUAACAUCAAAUCGUACCCCAAACCGACACAGGUGGUCAGGUAGAGAAUACCAAGGCGCUUGAGAGAACUCGGGUGAAGGAACUAGGCAAAAUGGUGCCGUAACUUCGGGAGAAGGCACGCUGAUAUGUAGGUGAAGCGACUUGCUCGUGGAGCUGAAAUCAGUCGAAGAUACCAGCUGGCUGCAACUGUUUAUUAAAAACACAGCACUGUGCAAACACGAAAGUGGACGUAUACGGUGUGACGCCUGCCCGGUGCCGGAAGGUUAAUUGAUGGGGUCAGCGCAAGCGAAGCUCUUGAUCGAAGCCCCGGUAAACGGCGGCCGUAACUAUAACGGUCCUAAGGUAGCGAAAUUCCUUGUCGGGUAAGUUCCGACCUGCACGAAUGGCGUAAUGAUGGCCAGGCUGUCUCCACCCGAGACUCAGUGAAAUUGAACUCGCUGUGAAGAUGCAGUGUACCCGCGGCAAGACGGAAAGACCCCGUGAACCUUUACUAUAGCUUGACACUGAACAUUGAGCCUUGAUGUGUAGGAUAGGUGGGAGGCUUUGAAGUGUGGACGCCAGUCUGCAUGGAGCCGACCUUGAAAUACCACCCUUUAAUGUUUGAUGUUCUAACGUUGACCCGUAAUCCGGGUUGCGGACAGUGUCUGGUGGGUAGUUUGACUGGGGCGGUCUCCUCCUAAAGAGUAACGGAGGAGCACGAAGGUUGGCUAAUCCUGGUCGGACAUCAGGAGGUUAGUGCAAUGGCAUAAGCCAGCUUGACUGCGAGCGUGACGGCGCGAGCAGGUGCGAAAGCAGGUCAUAGUGAUCCGGUGGUUCUGAAUGGAAGGGCCAUCGCUCAACGGAUAAAAGGUACUCCGGGGAUAACAGGCUGAUACCGCCCAAGAGUUCAUAUCGACGGCGGUGUUUGGCACCUCGAUGUCGGCUCAUCACAUCCUGGGGCUGAAGUAGGUCCCAAGGGUAUGGCUGUUCGCCAUUUAAAGUGGUACGCGAGCUGGGUUUAGAACGUCGUGAGACAGUUCGGUCCCUAUCUGCCGUGGGCGCUGGAGAACUGAGGGGGGCUGCUCCUAGUACGAGAGGACCGGAGUGGACGCAUCACUGGUGUUCGGGUUGUCAUGCCAAUGGCACUGCCCGGUAGCUAAAUGCGGAAGAGAUAAGUGCUGAAAGCAUCUAAGCACGAAACUUGCCCCGAGAUGAGUUCUCCCUGACNNUGAG